rnacentral:tRNA from 2 species
GGAGAGAUGGGUGAGUGGCUGAAACCAACAGUUUGCUAAACUGUCGUACUCGAAAAGGGUACCGGGGGUUCGAAUCCCCCUCCCUCCG